rnacentral:rRNA from 1 species
GGAAUUUGUAUCCCCCCCCCGGGACUAGCAUUCAAUAAGCGGAGGAAAAGAAACUAACAAGGAUUCCCCUAGUAACGGCGAGUGAAGCGGGAAGAGCUCAAAUUUGAAAUCUGGCGGUCUCAGGCCGUCCGAGUUGUAGUCUCGAGAAGCGUUUUCCGCGUCGGACCGUGUACAAGUCCCUUGGAACAGGGCGUCAUAGAGGGUGAGAAUCCCGUCUUUGACACGGACUGCCGGUGCUUUGUGAUGCGCUCUCAAAGAGUCGAGUUGUUUGGGAAUGCAGCUCAAAAUGGGUGGUAAAUUCCAUCUAAAGCUAAAUAUGGGCGAAAGACCGAUAGCGAACAAGUACCGUGAGGGAAAGAUGAAAAGCACUUUGGAAAGAGAGUUAAACAGUACGUGAAAUUGUUGAAAGGGAAACGCUUGAAGUCAGUCGCGUCUUCCGGGACUCAGCCUAGCCUUUUGGUUAGGUGUACUUCCUGGGGUGACGGGCCAGCAUCGAUUUUGACCGUUGGAGAAAGGCCUUGGGAACGUGGCACCUUCGGGUGUGUUAUAGCCCUCGGUCGUAUGCAACGGUUGGGAUCGAGGGUCGCAGCGCGCCUUUUUGGCCGGGGUUCGCCCACGUAACGCGCUUAGGAUGCUGGCGUAAUGGCUUUAAGCGACCCGUCUUGAAACACGGACCAAGGAGUCUAACAUGCUCGCGAGUGUUUGGGUGGAAAACCCGGACGCGUAAUGAAAGUGAAAGGUUGGGACCUCUGUCGUGGAGGGCACCGACGCCCGGACCAGACCUUUUGUGACGGUUCCGAGGUAGAGCGCGUAUGUUGGGACCCGAAAGAUGGUGAACUAUGCCUGAGUAGGGUGAAGCCAGAGGAAACUCUGGUGGAGGCUCGUAGCGAUUCUGACGUGCAAAUCGAUCGUCGAACUUGGGUAUAGGGGCGAAAGACUAAUCGAACCAUCUAGUAGCUGGUCCUGCAGACCCCCCCCCGCAGAAGAGAUAAAAAGGGGCUGCUG